CCACGCUUGCUUCACAGGACCAUGCUAUGAGCCAGAACUGCGUGAAGAAAUUUUGUUUGUUUACUUCUGCCAACCCAAGAAGAACAUCUGUGCAUUGAAAAUUAACGAAAGAACCUUUUGGAGAAAGAUUUUCUUGAACUUGGAUAGGGUGUCACUAAAGGAGUCAAGAGAUGCAGCAGCGAGUCAGAGAAGUAAACACUCCCAUUCAAAUAAUGACGCUGUGUCCGACCGACGUCGGACGGCUGUCCUCGCAUCGCAGGUGGACAGGGUCAGGCUGAGGAAAUUGGCCAUGAAGGUCAUGAGUCAUGAACCUGACAGGAAGAGACGAAAAUUUGCCGGAGGUGGUCGCAAAAGACGAUUAAAUCUGCUAUUUUUGCAUCUGGCAGGCCAAGUUUGGAGAUGAGUCUGUUGCUUGGCGGCCGAAAAAUUUAGAUUUGGAUGAAAACGCUAAGGUGCUCCAGGAGGAUUCUUCAGGAAAUUUGGUGGGCAUGUUGAGCAGUGUUGGGCGCAGUUGGAAGAGGUUGAUCUGGCCAAAUACACAAGAAAAUCCCUAGGAAGAGAAAUUACAUCAGUGGAGUGCGUUUUACUGCUGGAUCACGUCAAAGUGAUGCACAAAGAAGCCAUCAAAUGCGGAAUUUUUGGCUGCACGACAUUCUUUCACAGUGAGGAGGAAAAAGAGCAGCACAUGCAGCAGGAUUUUCAAAAGAAACGUAACAAAUUAAUGCGAAUUUGGAGAAAACAUCAAUAUUUUUCCCUCAUUGAUAACGUAGAGGCUUCAUGUGAGUUUCCUGCAUCCGGAAUUUCCGUUGGCGUGCCCGCGUUUUGGCUGCAAAAAUCACUUCAAAUCCAAGUUGGAAAUGAUUCUCCACGUCAACUCGAGAGUCGAGGCACAAACUAAACCGAGAAGUUAACCAAUGCAAGCAUUGCGAGUAGAUAUCUAAACUAGCUGCGCCACACCAGCCAGCCACUGACAUUUUUUUUUAUCAGCUCAGCCAGCUUAAAUCAUUUUUUCAAUUUCACUUGCCCUAAAUUAAAAAUUUUCGCGCCUUUCUGUUUCAUGGAUGUGUUUUACACACAAAUUACUUCGAUUAUGUGCUCUGUUAUUCGUGUUAGUUUAUGUAACUCGCAACCAGAGAUCUCAAAACAGCACUUUUCUGGAAAAAACCCCUUAGGAUUUGCAAAAAACUGUUUUUAUGGUUGGUUUUUGCAAGUUUUAUGCGUUUCUAUAAAAGACCGAAUAUUUUAACUCUUCGAUUAUCGUAAUUUGCAAAAUUUCAGGCUAUUUAUGACUUGAAAUAUGCCUCUUUUGGGGUUCAUAAAUUGGGAAUAAUGCGAUAAAACUCAAAACGCUUGCUUUUUUCCAACUGGUUCCGUGCGCAUUGAAAAAUUGGCGAAUCCUGUUCGCAACGUAUUGAUUUAAAACUCGUUUUCACCUAAUUCAAAUCAUUUUACCUCAAAAUUUUACUAUUGCUUUUUAGUCCUAAAAUUUAAACUCUAUUUAUGGCAAUUUUUCAAUGAAAAAAAGGAAAAAUAAAAAAAAUUACUUAAAAGCGGAAAUAAAAAAAGUCUUUGGCGGCUAUUAUUUUAAAGCAACUUUCAGAUUACCAGUGUUCACCAACUUUGCAAAUUGCAAAAAAUCACCUAGGAAAUUCCACUAAUGUUUUGGUUAUUCUGCAUUUUCCUGUUAAACCCCAAACAUAUAUCGCGUCAAAAAAGUCAGAAAUUUUGGAAAUUUACAAUCUCCGCUGAGUGUUAAGAUUCUCGACCUUUUGGUGAAACGUACUGGUUCUAAAUAUCCUUAUUUUUGGUCAUCCAGCAUCAUAAGAAUUUUUUAUCUUCAAUACCGCAAAAUUUUAGAAAAACUGGCAAAAAGACCACUUUUAUGUUAUCAAGUUUUGUUUUUCCGGACAAAUGCGAGUUUUUGCCAUCCAUGCAGUUACACCCAAGUUGACAGAAGUUGCAACUUUUGAAUUAUGCAGUCUUGAAAUGCACAUGAGCCGGUUGCUACCUCGGAUUGAAGUGCUGGGCCUUUUGCUUCAAUUGCACAGGAAGAGAUGCCAAAAAACCUUCCGAUGAAAAUGUUCAGUAGGGCUGUGAAUUUUAGAAGAUUAUUUUCGGGAAAAUAGUUGACUAUAUUUCAGCGGGUUUUCAGAUAAAUUUAGAAUAUUUUAGUCGAUUUUUUAAAUUUGGAUAGUUUUAGAUGAUUUUGUUAUUUAUUUCUAAUUUUAUUUUCUUGCAAAAGACACGUGGCGUCGUGUCAAAUUGUUUUUACCUUUAACUUUCUAAAUUAAAUUGCGCCGCAUGCAGAGCAAAUUUUCAAAUGUAUCGUUACUGUUACAACCUCAAAUCUCGGGUUCUAAUUUUUAGAAUUGCAAAAACUGCAUACCGUUCAACUCGUCUUGACCUUCCCUAGACAGCCAAAAUGUUUUGAGGGUGAUCAACCCUCAACCCCGUUUAUUAAAGUAACGAGAAAAAUCGCGUCGUUUUGCACUUUCAACAAAUUUAUUCACUGUUCAAAAAGCUCUUAAAUUGAAAAAAUCUACCCCGAAUUCCAUUGGCUCUCUAGAGGUUAAGACAAGUCGAACGGUGAGCAGUUUUCUCAAUUCGACAGAUUUUUUUGCAAAUAUUUAAACUUCUGCCAAAUCUUUGGUUCUAAUUAUCAGAAUUGCAAAAACUACCCACCGUUGGACUCGUGUCGACUUGCCCUGACGAGAUGAGUGGGUGCUUUCCCUCCACCCCAAAAGAUGCUACACUUUUUUCUUUUUUCAAAGGGGUUGAAACAUACCAACUUAAGGGUGGAAGGAAUACACCCCUGAACCUUUCAGCUGGUCAGGGCAGAUAGAAACGAGUCCAGCGGUGAGUAGAUUUUUUUAAUUUCUCGUGAUGAGAAAAAUGUUAAUUAAUGUUUCUUAUUUAAUUAAAUAAUAUCAUUUCAACAAUUUUUAACCGUGAAAUAUUCAGAAUAGUCGGUUAUAGACGAUUUUAGACGAUUUAAGAUGGUUUUGGCAGUUUUAGACGGUUUUAAGUAUGGUUCAAACUGCUUAAAAUUGCAUGAACACAAUGAUUGUCAGAAAAUUUACAAGCGAAAGUCUCGUUUGUUUGUAUUCUCAUAUUGUCAGGAAGCACAUUUUUGUUUCAAUAAAAUUACUAACGGAAUUAUUAUAAAUUGUUGCGUAUUGAAUUUUACAAAACCUUUUAAUAAUUACCCUUUUACAGUUAUUUUGCUUCUUAAAAAAAUAUCUGAACUAAUUAUUCCUGUGAGUGUGUUUUUGUCUAAUGGAAAAAACGAAGGGUUGUGGAGUGGAAUUUUGAGAUUAA